ACCAGACUCCUACGGGAGGCAGCAGUGAGGAAUAUUGGUCAAUGGGCGGAAGCCUGAACCAGCCAAGUCGCGUGAGGGAAGAAGGCCCUGCGGGUCGCAGACCUCUUUGGACGGGGAGCAAGGCCGCCGACGUGUCGGCGGAAGGAGAGUGCCCGUAGAACAAGCAUCGGCUAACUCCGUGCCAGCAGCCGCGGUAAUACGUAGGGGGCAAGCGUUGUUCGGAAUGACUGGGCGUAAAGGGUGCGUAGGCGGUAGUACAAGUUAGAAGUGGAAUACCCAGGGCUUAACUCGGGUGCUGCUUCUAAAACUGUACGACUUGAGUGCAGUAGAGGUUAGUGGAAUUCCUAGUGUAGCGGUGGAAUGCGUAGAUAUUAGGAGGAACACCAGAGGCGAAGGCGGCUAACUGGACUGUAACUGACGCUGAGGCACGAAAGUGUGGGGAGCAAACAGGAUUAGAUACCCGUGUAAA
rnacentral:rRNA from 1 species